rnacentral:rRNA from 1 species
AAAGGAAUAGACGGGGGCCCGCACAAGCGGUGGAGCAUGUGGUUUAAUUCGAUGCAACGCGAAGAACCUUACCAGGUCUUGACAUCCAAAGAAUCCUGAUGAAAGUCGGGAGUGCCUUAGGGAGCUUUGAGACAGGUGGUGCAUGGUUGUCGUCAGCUCGUGUCGUGAGAUGUUGGGUUAAGUCCCGCAACGAGCGCAACCCUUGCUAUUAGUUGCUAACAUUCAGUUGAGCACUCUAAUGGGACUGCCCGUGACAAGCGGGAGGAAGGUGGGGAUGACGUCAAAUCAUCAUGCCCUUUAUGAUCUGGGCUACACACGUGCUACAAUGGAUGGUACAGAGAGCAGCGAGACAGUGAUGUGGAGCGAAUCUCAAAAAGCCAUUCUCAGUUCGGAUUGCAGGCUGCAACUCGCCUGCAUGAAGUCGGAAUCGCUAGUAAUCGCGGAUCAGCAUGUCGCGGUGAAUGCGUUCCCGGGCCUUGUACACACCGCCCGU